AGUGAACGCUGGCGGCAGGCCUAACACAUGCAAGUCGAACGGCAGCACAGGGGUAGCAAUACCCUGGGUGGCGAGUGGCGGACGGGUGAGGAAUACGUCGGAAUCUGCCUAUUUGUGGGGGAUAACGUAGGGAAACUUACGCUAAUACCGCAUACGACCUACGGGUGAAAGCGGAGGACCUUCGGGCUUCGCGCAGAUAGAUGAGCCGACGUCGGAUUAGCUAGUUGGCGGGGUAAAGGGCCCACCAAGGCGACGAUCCGUAGCUGGUCUGAGAGGAUGAUCAGCCACACUGGAACUGAGACACGGUCCAGACUCCUACGGGAGGCAGCAGUGGGGAAUAUUGGACAAUGGGCGCAAGCCUGAUCCAGCCAUGCCGCGUGUGUGAAGAAGGCC
rnacentral:rRNA from 1 species